AAAACCUUUCCCAGCAGGUGCAACAGCCUAUGACCUCAUCAUAAUAACAUUGGUAAUGAUGACAAACAAACUAAUAAAUCCGAAGAAAUGAGGGAAAAUGACGGAAGUCGUAUUGACGAAUACGUCUAUGGACUCGGAUGAGGGUCUCUUAGGACUUUUUAUUUAUUUUUUAUUAGUUUUAAUUGAAUGUCUAUUGACAUGGAUUUUAGAGAAUAUUGCUGAAGAGCUCUAUGAUUGCAAUAUUUCUCCUUGGUUUGAAAGUCUGUGGAGUAGUAUUAAUCCCUUCACAUGACUCUAGGGAUUUUAUUGAAGUCAUUUUGGCACUGAGUCAAAAAAAGGAAUUCUUGGUCAAACCUACAUCAUUGAGAGUGUAUUUUUGGAUUUAAAAAAAGUGGAAAUAUGUACCACUUGUUGACAUAAUUAAUAAAUAUGGAUGUACUAAACAUGAUAUUCAUAUCAUUUUGGAUCAUAAAGGAUUAAAGCUCAUAUACUUAUUUUAUCAAUAUAAAAUGAAACGAGAACUGCCAGAAUAUAUUCUUCGUUUCACGCUUGAAGCUAAAAGUGUGAUCAUACACCUCCAAGUAAUCUGAGUUAUCCGUUUUAUGUAGUCCUUAUUUAAUCUCAAAUGACUUAUGAUUCCAACGGAUGACUAUUUUUUACUUUACAGAGCCAAUGAUCAAGAGGUUGAAUUGAUAAAGAAUAUUUCAUUGCCGGGAUGUUUGCCUAUGAACAUGACUUAAUAAUUAUUUUUUUAUAUAUAUUUAAUUAUUUACUUGUGUCCAUAACAGUCAAUUGAACACGUAAAACAUUUUAAUAAUGUAUAUAUAUUUUUAAGAAAGUCAUAUUUUCUUAGUUUAUCAAUAUUUUGUUUGAAAAUAUGUAUUAAAAAACAAAACAAAAAAAAACAUUGUGAGAUUUGCAACAAGAAAUCAUGUGAUUAAAAAAAAUAAAUAUUUUUUGCACUAAA
rnacentral:lncRNA from 1 species